UGUCAACGAACUUAUAAGUAGCUCGAAAAGUAGCCUUAAUUUUUGUUCAAAACUAGGUCUAAAAUUAUCAAAUUUGAGAGAAACAAUUCGAAUUCGCUUUAAUGCCAGGAGGAACUGUAAUACCGAACUUUUUUCACUUCAAACCCCCAUACAACUUAAUGGAAUUGGAUAGUGAAACUUUGCAGCAACACAAUAUGCAUCGAAAAACCAUUCAUUGAUUGGACUGGAUGGAUGGGGAAAUACCCUAUAACUGCUUAAGUGAUACACUUUCACCACUUAACAAGUUCGCCAAUGUAAUUGUACGUUGUGAAGUAAAAAAGGAAUUUUUAUCCAAGUUUCUAUCGAAUAAUAUUAUCGAUAUAUAUAUUGGAAAGAAAGAGUUUACUAGCUGUAAAAUUUACGAAAAAGUGAAGCUAAGAUGUGCUCUAAAUAAUUUAUUUAGACUGUUUGUAAUUUUAGAAAACUGCAAUUAUGAUAUAUAUUUAAUUGGAAAUUCAUAUGUAUAAAUUAA